GGCAAAAGGAGGCGUGGCAAAAGAAAUUGCAUUAUCACGUGACUUCAUUAUACUCUUUACUUUCGAAUAAUCAGUUUAUAAAAAUUCUUUUAGAGAAUAAAGGGUAAAAAUAAAAUUCUGUUCUUAUUUUGAAAUAAAACAAUUUUCAAUCCAAAGGAAUUUUAGGUGAUUAUUUCGCAAUUCCAUUUAAAAAUGUCAGAGUCAGUGUGUUGACGUCACAGAAUUCGUAAAUUUCA
rnacentral:lncRNA from 1 species